UAAUGUACAGCAAGGGGCUAUUCCCACGGGCUCAUAGGGGUUUCGUUAAAUCUCAAGGACUGUGCCAGGCACAAAAAGGGAUCCAGUAGUUUGGUUGGUAAAAAUAGGGUUUUAUAGAUCAAAAAAAUCAACUGACUUUUCCCUAUGGUUUAAGAAAAAAGGGUUGUGGAAGCGAUGAGUGUGAUUCUGCAAAUCCUUCUUCAUGAGUCCUUUUAAUUUGGAGGGGUGACUCAUCGGCGCAGGGACUACUCGGAGGAUUGCAUGACCACAGGAUGCGGCGCUGGAGAAGUGUUUUUGUAAACAAAUAAACAUGCUCCUUCCUGCUGGAAACACAUCUCUCAGCAGCGGCCGAGCACCUGAGAACCUGCUAGUGAAAGUAGUAAGAAAUACUAAACGCGGUGCCAGUGGGUUGGUCGAGCUCCAAAACCAAGAGGAACACAGGAACGACUUUUUAAGUGAAAACUGCCUGAAGAGACAGUGCUACAACCUGACAACGUCUAAGCGGAGGGACUCUCCCGGCACAGACCAGCAGCUGGAAACCGGAGGAGGCUCCAAACCAGCCCAGGGCCCUGCUGUGCCCGGGCAGACGCGAGCCAAGGGGAGACGCUGCGGAGAGAAGACCACGCAGCAUCGCGGGGCAGAGCUUGCCGUAGCCGGGUCGAGAUGUUUCAGUUGCAAACGAUAGGUCUAUUUUACCUAUUAGAGCUUGUCUAGACUAAGGAAAUGUUCCUGCUAUGACUACGCUGAGGUAAUUACACCAGCCUAAACCCCUUUGGGCAAAACAGAGCUCUCCGUGGCCUGAUUUACUCUGGGCACUUGCCAGGAUUCGUUCGGCUGGUACCAGCCUGUCCUGCCCGAGCGGCAACGCCGCGCGGGAGCCUCGGCCCCCGGUUCGCGGGUCUGCGAAACAUCUGCUCUGCGAGUCCGUCCAUCGGCCCGUCGUUGGGGAAGAGCUGCGCAAAGGUGCCUCCAAAAAACGGCAACUGUUCAGAAGGCUCCUCAGAAAUGCAGUGCAGAACCGAUUAAUCUGCCGUGAAAAGCAUGCUAAAUAAGCCUGGUUUUAAAUUAAAGCACACUUCGAUUUGUGUACGCAGAUCGGAGAAACGCAUCUGCGUCGAAUGCGAUGAAAUAGGAAGGCAGAUGUAGGACAUUCAACCUGCUAAAUGGGCUAUAUGGACUAAACGGACCUAUACGAGGUGUAAAAUGUGUCCACGGAGAGCAAAACGAAAGCUCAUCCAAACUGGUCCUACUACAUGAACAAAAACGUAAGAAAACAAAAGCGACGUGUAAAUUCAAGUGCUUCUGCUGGAAGCCCCUUUCAGUGGAAGUGAGGGUGAAAUUUUAGCCUAAGAGAAGCCAGCGGCAACUUUUACAUCGACUUUAAAGGAGAGGCUUCACUUAAUGCAACGCGUAUGGCGAAGACACACAGCGCCAGUCCGCAUACUGUGAUUCAAAUAUAUAUGUGCUGGGCUUCACAUACAGCUUCAGACAACAUGUUGAUAAAUGCAGGAUAAUGAAUGGAUAGACUGACAGACAGAUUUAGUUAUCGUUUAAUCUGGCUUACUAUUAUCUGCAGCUGUUACAGUUAAAAUGUUCUAAAAAGUUACUGCACGGCUUUAAUUCCAAACAGUUGCUGGAAGGACAGUUAGAAACCGUGAAAACAAAUACGCUCCUUUUCUUUAAAUGUCUCAUUAAAAAAGGGGGGGGGGGGAAAGCAUGUCUGCAGCACAGAGAUGACAUCAGAAAAGUUCCACGAUUCACAGAUGGCUGCACCUUUCAAAAAAAAUUAAAAUAGGAACCCUAGAUUGAUUUAAUCACCCAUACAAGCGAAAAAACGUAAUGAAGAUACUUAGUGCCAAAUUGGUUUCUUGAGACCUUUUCCAUGUAAAUAAUACAAAUCAAACCUUGAAGUUCAGCGCAGAUAUGAUCUGACAAGUAAGCCAGGCUUUUUGUUUCACUUUGAUCCAGCUCCAGAAAUAUUUUCUCCGAGGUAAAGUUGUUUUUAAGUGUUUUCCAUUUCAAUUUUUAAUUUCGGGUAUUCAUCAUAUAGGAAACUUGCCUAUAACGCUUCAAACAUUAGUCUGGCUAAACUGGCUCACAGCCCUAAGCGUAAAGAUUCCCUCGUAUUCGCUCCUAAGGGUGGAAACAUGAGGAGCUCACAGCGUGACAGGGGAUCAGUUUUAACUCCCUGUUGGUUUUAAGGGUACGCUGAACGUGGGCACCCGGAGCGGCGUCUUUCCAGACAUCAGGUCCACCCGACUCCCGUAUUUCUAGCACUGCCCCACUUCCCAUAGGUGCCUUUGGGACUAAUCCUUUUGAAAACGGGAGGAUGGAUAGGCCGCUGUUUUCUAAGUGCUUCCCCAAAUUCCCCAAGCUCACAAAUUGCGGUGCCGAACGCCUAAACACAGAUUUGGGCACCUUGCUGUACGCAGCCAGGUUUUAAAAACUCAGCUCUCGCGAAAAAUGUAAAAUCCUCUGGAUUCUCUUACUUCCACACAUUCAUAUGUAGCAUAUUUAGAAUUAACAGGGCCCCUUUUCGCUUUU